GGAUGCUACAAAAUCACCACCGUCUUUAGCCACGCACAAACGGUAGUUCUGUGUGUCGGCUGCUCCACUGUCCUCUGCCAGCCCACAGGAGGGAAAGCAAGGCUUACAGAAGGAUGCUCCUUCAGGCGGAAGCAGCACUAAAAGCACCCUGAAUCAAGAUGAGUGGGACACUAUCCCAAUAAACAGAUUUUGGAUACA